rnacentral:rRNA from 1 species
CACGGGGGGAGCAAGCGUUGUUCGGAAUCACUGGGCGUAAAGGGCUCGUAGGCGGUUUGUCGCGUCGGGAGUGAAAACCUUGGGCUUAACUCAGGGCUUGCUUUCGAUACGGGCAGACUAGAGGUAUGCAGGGGAGAACGGAAUUCCUGGUGUAGCGGUGAAAUGCGCAGAUAUCAGGAGGAACACCGGUGGCGAAGGCGGUUCUCUGGGCAUGAUCUGACGCUGAGGAGCGAAAGUGUGGGGAGCGAACAGG